GAUGAAGAACUCAGUGAAAUGCGAUAAGUAAUGUGAAUUGCAGAAUUCAGUGAAUCAUCGAAUCUUUGAACGCACAUUGCGCCCCCUGGUAUUCCGGGGGGCAUGCCUGUUCGAGCGUCAUUUCACCACUCAAGCCUCGCUUGGUAUUGGGCAACGCGGUCCGCCGCGUGCCUCAAAUCGACCGGCUGGGUCUUCUGUCCCCUAAGCGUUGUGGAAACUAUUCGCUAAAGGGUGUUCGGGAGGCUACGCCGUAAAACAACCCCAUUUCUAAGGUUGACCUCGGAUCAGGUAGGGAUACCCGCUGAACUUAAGCAUAUCAAUAAGCGGAGGA
rnacentral:misc_RNA from 1 species